rnacentral:tRNA from 1 species
UCCCUAAUGGCUCAGAUGGUAAAGAAUCUGCCUGCAAUGCAGGAAACCCAGGUUCAAUCCCUGGGUCGGGAA